GUCAUGGGUUUGUUUUCCCAGCAUUUGAGUUUUUGGACUUUCUAGUUUUGUUUAUUUAAUUGAUAUAUAUUGAGAUCUCAGGGUUGUGUGAGGUUUAGAUUAUGUCUUGUAUUCCUUCUCCUAGCGAAUUUAGUCUCUACCUCCCUUACUCUUUUCCUCCCUCCCGUGUCAAGCCUCUUGCAUUUAGUUCAUUCAUGUAUCGUGUAGGAUGUUUUCCUGUUUAGUCGUCAGUUCCUGUUUUACGUUGAGAGUUUGUGGUCCUGGUGCUUUGUUUUUACUUUUGCUUCUUUUGACUCAUUCACUGUGAUUUGGUGUAACGGUGUCUUAUUCUCCGCAGCUGUUUCCACUUCCCCCAUCACCCUCCUGUGUAGAUAUACUUGCUGUCCCCUCUUGUCCUCUGUUGUAGUAUCUUCUCACCUCACCGCAGUGAGUUCCUAGUUUCACAUUUCAGGGCGUUUAUAGUUUUCUUACUUUUAAAUGUUGUGUUUCAUCCUUUGUACUAUCGGACAUUAAACGAAAUAAGCAGCUCGCUCUAAGUUGUUCUGUUCACACGUGUCUGCGUUUGGGUCCGCGCGCUCUGCCUCUCCUCAACUGUCAAGCCGGUUUUGAACCUGUUACACUGCCGCGGUUUGAAAAAACACGACCGCAGUCAAGCUCAGCGAUACUUCCAGCUUUUCCAACGUGGCAGCACGAGCCCCCACGAGUGUCUCUGCUGUUUUCUUAAUUGAAAGAAGGAAAAAAAGGACCAAAUGGAGAAAAAAUCCAGGCAGUGUUACAUACUAAAUGGACGCUACUUGGAGCCAAGCGAGAGGUCUGCAGCAGCUCUGAAGAACCUACAAGCUUUGAUGGCUGAGAGAUGAGAGACAAUGUACAGUUGCCCGGGUGAUUUACCAGCUAGUUUUCUGGUAGACUGAAAAAGAGAAAAAUCACUGUUAAAAAAAACUGACGCCAUCUCAGCUAGCGUUUGCCAGAAGGCAUGUGGGAGAAUUUGGAACAAAGCUGAAAUAGUUUUUGGAAUAGGGAGAAAAAUGAGCUUUGCUUUUUUUUCUUCUAUCACACUAAAUGCUAUGUUUGGUGUAAAACAAACAGUGUGAUGUCAUCAUAACUCAUCCUUUCACCACAAAGCCUGGUUCCUGCAGAAUCACGCUUGGAGGGGCUUCCUUGCAGCAUAAUUUGGUAAAGGGUAAAAUAAAUUCAACAACAAAAGAAGAAGAAAAAAACUAUGGGAAUGUCUGUUAUGAAACUAAAAAGAGAAGGUUUUGAUUUCAGCAAGACAUAAAUCCACAGCUAUGUUAUUCUAUUAAAGUGGCUAAGCCAGCUUCCAGACCUCCGUGCAACGCAGAAUUAGUUGCAGGACUUCAAAACUUGCGGUAGCUGUGCAACUUACUGAUCUGUUCACAGCUAUAUGUGCAAUCCCAACAUUAGCCUGUAACUGCUGACUGCAAACUUAAGAUAAAAACUACUUAGCACUCAGUGUAGUUAAACCCUUCUUAUUUUUGUGAAUCUGUUGAUCUGUGUGAACAAAAGUGAGCAAGCAUUUACGCAGCGCAUACCACACCUCUGCCUUGGCUUUAAGGCUCUACCUGCACCCUGUCACGCUUCCUUUCCCUUGCUCUGGUCUCAUCCCGGAGGAGAGCGUGAGCCAUGUGUGGGUGUCACAGAGCUGACAGGUCUAUCUGGGCUCUGUCUACUGUGCUGGCUAUUCCCAUUUCCCCUCUUCACUGCCUACUCCACAGCUGCUGUGCAUCCGACUGUGACACCACGCCUGCACGUGCACGCACACACACGAGGCAUAUCAGUUUACAAAAGGGGGAGGCUUGAGGCUACCCACGAGGUCAAUCCCGGAACGCAAAACACCGUUAAAAAUCAAAACUAUAUUUUAGCAUCUGUUAGAGAAAAGAAGAGAGAAUCAGAGGAAAGUAGACGUAUGCAAGUGGGAAGAGAGACACUGCCAGACCUGUGGAUUAAACAGCAUCCUAUAUACAUGCAUAUCUACUGUUUGACAGUUUAAUAGAGUGUAUAUCCCUGUUUGUGUUCAUGGGUGUGAAAGUGUGCACAUUUCCGCAUGAGUGCGUGGACGUUGAUCAGCAGUGGGUUAUGGGUUCUAGCACCCAAUCGGAAAAGCAGACUGUCACAUAGUGUGUUAGCCCUGUAAAAAUCUAAAAUCUGUCUCCUGCCACGGAUCCAUAAUAAGGCCCAGCAGCUGCUCAAGUCAAUGCGGUUCAAGCACACACCGUCACCAUAAACCCUAUGUAACACAUUUCUCAUUUGAUACGCCUCUC